rnacentral:rRNA from 1 species
CUUUUUANCGGCCGCGGNACUCUGACCGUGCNNCCNUNNCNUAAUCAUUUGCCUUAUAAUUGAAGGCUGGUAUGAAUGGNUUGACAAGAAUACCCCUGUCUCUUUGUGGUUUGGUAGAAUUUUAUUUUUACGUGAAAAAGCCUUGAUUUGAUUAAUACACAAGAAGACCCUAUCGAGCUUUAAAGGAUUUANNGGGUGGAGACUUAAUUGGUGGAAAAAGGAAUCUGCUCAAUAUUUUGGUUGGGGCGACUGANGAACAUGUAAAGCUUCCUUUACAUCCGCAUUGAUCCAUGAUUAAAGAAAUUANUUACCGCAGGGAUAACAGCAUUAUCUUUUUUGAGAGUUCUUAUCGAAAAAAGGGUUUGUGACCUCGAUGUUGGACCAGAAUGUCCUAAAGAUGCAGAAGUCUUUAAGGGUUGGUCUGUUCNACCAUUAAAAUUCUA